rnacentral:lncRNA from 1 species
CUUAAAAGAGAAUAAAAAAAAAGCGAGAGAAAAAAAAAGAGAAAAAAUAAGGAAAAACUAGAGAAAAUGAAGAUGAUGAAGAUGCACUUUUAAGAUAAAAGCUACACCAUUUAGAGGAACGUUGUACUGUUAUAGACGCAAGUUGUACUCUUUGAGAUAUAAACUGCACCCUUUAAGAUGAAAGUUAAACUCUUCAAACGAAAAUUACACUCUUUGGGAGAAGAAACAGUAUAACUAUCUUUCAAAUAGUAUAACUUUCGUUUAAAAAGUGCAACUUUUAUCUUAAAGGAUACAGUUUAUAUUUCAAAAAGUGCAAUUAUGUUUAUAAUAGUGCAACAUUCUUCUAAAAUAAUGUAAAUUUAUGUUAACAGUGCAACUUCAUUUUCUUCUUUUUUAUU